UACGUAGGGAGCAAGCGUUGUCCGGAUUCACUGGGUGUAAAGGGUGCGCAGGCGGGAGAGUAAGUCAGAGGUGAAAUCUCACAGCUUAACUGUGAAACUGCCUUUGAUACUGCUUUUCUUGAGUUCGGGAGAGGUUGAUGGAAUUCCAGGUGUAGCGGUGAAAUGCGUAGAUAUCUGGAAGAACACCAGUGGCGAAGGCGGUCAACUGGCCCGUAACUGACGCUCAGGCACGAAAGCGUGGGUAGCAAACAGG
rnacentral:rRNA from 1 species